ensembl:lincRNA
GGCGUGGGGGAGCGAGUAAGGGAUGAGGGAGUGAGGAAAGUGAAGCUAGGAAGUGAGGGAGCAAUGAAGGGGGGGGAGAGAAGCGACUGAGGAAGUGGUGGAAGGGGGGGUGGAGAGUGAGGCCUCACCACACGUCGUUAUGCACUCUGGGAGGGGGAGGGAGCAAAGAGGAUGGGAGAGAGGAAGGGGGUGUUUUGGACAUGCGUUUAAUAGGGGGAUUUGAGGGAAAGCGGUGUGGGGGGCGGAAUGGUGCCCUUGUGCCGGCAUUAGUACAGGAUUGAAUGAAAUUGCGUAUGUUCAAACGGGUCAUACUAAACAACGCCCAGGCACUGCUCAGAGAGGUCCGUGGACGGGCUUUGGGAGGAGCUGAGAAGAUGGCUCAGCAUGUCGAUUUAGAAAUUGAAGAUGAUGAUCAAGUUGAUGAUGAUGCAUGGCUGCAAUAUCAUACUGUGGGUGACGUCAUGGAAAUUGUCAAAGAAAAAACACAGUUUGUUGCUGCUAAGCAUGAUGAUGGUGAAGACUUGAAGAACAGUGGAAGUAUCACCGAUACAAUGAUGAACUCUGUCUUCCUCACUCCCGAGGGGAUUGAACCACCACUGACGGAGAUCUCUGGAGCAGAAUGCGCAUUGCUCAGAGGAUCUCUGGGUUAUGACGACAAUUACCCCCUUUCACCAGCACAACCGAAAGAUUUUUCGGUGAAGAAUAAGGAAGAUGAGCAGACAACUGAGACUUUCCGACAAACUGUUUGCUGAGAAGACGACUGAGCAUGGAGAUUUAGAAAUUGAAGAUGAUGAUCAAGAUGAUGAUGAUCAAGAUGAUGAUGAUGGAUGGCUGCAAUAUUAUCCUGUGGGUGACAUCAUGGAAGAUCUCAAAGAAAAAACACAGUUUGUUGCUGCUAAUCCUGAUGAUGGUGAAGACUCGAAGAACAGUAGAAGUAUCACCGAUACAAUUAACUCUGUUUUCCUCACCCCUGGAGGGAUUGAACCCACACUGACGGAGAUCUCUGGAGCAGAAGGCGCAUUGCUUAGAGGAUCUCUGGGUUAUGAUGAUAAUUACCCCCUGUCACCAGCACAACCAAAAUAUUUUUCGGUGAAGAAUAAGCAAGAUGAGCAGACAGCUGAGACUUCUGACAAACCAUUUGCUGAGAAGACAACUGAGCAUGCAGAUUUAGAAAUUGCAGAUGAUGACAUUGGGCUGGAUGAUAUGAUCAUAUUGUAGGUGAUGUCAUGGAAAACGAUUUCAGUGAAAAAAAAAGAUUUUAACACUGCUAAUCUAUAUGAUGGAGAAGACUUGAAGAAUACAGGCAAGUCAACAAUCAUAAGUAUCACCGACAGAAUGAAUAGAAGAAUUAUCACCGAUAAAAUGAACUCUCAUUUCUUUACUCCUGAAGAGGUUGAAUCACCACUGGAGAUCUCUGGAGCAGAAGGUACAUUACUUCGAAGAUCUCGGGAUUGUGGUGAUAAUUACCCCCUCUCACUAGGGCAACCGAAAUAUGUUUUGUUGAAGCAAGAUCAGCAGACAGCUGAGAGUUUUGACAAACCAGUUGGUAACUGGUGAUUUAUGCCUGGAAGUAAAGUUAUUGUUUUUCUGCUGUUUCAUGGUCUCAGAAAGUUGAAACAAUAAAAUUUUGCAAUCCUGUCAGUCCGCUUUUUAAAAAAAACAUGUUAGAGCAAAUAUUUCACGUCACAAAAAUAUCCUUUAUUUCCCCACUUAACUUUCGGAUGAUAGAAAUGCAUUCACCUUAGACCCCAAUAUGUUUAACUUAUCUGGAAUUGGAAUUCCAGAUAAGGUCUUUUCAUUGGGCACCGUCUGUCCGUUUCAUAUUUCGACUUCUCCGGCCAAACUGCUGGGCCAAUCCGGCUGAAAUUUUGCAGCAAGGCUCUGCUCCCGACUGGUAACGGGCAUUGCAAAGCUUGUUCCGGUCAUGUGACUUUAAGUAAGUCAAAAUGGUGGACUUAGUAAAUUCCUUCAAAAAUCUUCUUAUCCAGACCCACAAAUCAGAAUGCCACCUAAUUUGGUUGCAACCUUUGGCCAGGGCCCACAUAAGCUACAGGUCCAGUGGUCCUAUUUUUUUUCUUUCUUUCUAUUGUGAUAAAAGAACAACAAUAAUUGCAAUUAUUUUUCUAGCUUGUUUCUUAUGUGUAUGUAAUUGUUUAGAAAUACAUACACAUAGAUAUUAAAAUAGAUAAGUUGUUUCUUGUCGUGGGGUCACAUUAUAGCAGUUUCUUUAUUUUGAACCACCUGUUCAAAAAGUUGGAGAUGUGUGCUUGGUGCAGUUAAGUUCGAAAAGAAACCGGUUCCAAGCAUGGGCCAUCAACAAAUUUGUGUAUGCAAGUUCUUACACAACAUUAUUCACAAUAAUGUUUCUUAUUUUUAUACUUUGUGAUGAUUACUGGAAUAGAAUGAAC